GAUGAACGCUAGCUACAGGCUUAACACAUGCAAGUCGAGGGGCAGCAUGGUCUUAGCUUGCUAAGGCCGAUGGCGACCGGCGCACGGGUGAGUAACACGUAUCCAACCUGCCGUCUACUCUUGGACAGCCUUCUGAAAGGAAGAUUAAUACAAGAUGGCAUCAUGAGUCCACAUGUUCACAUGAUUAAAGGUAUUCCGGUAGACGAUGGGGAUGCGUUCCAUUAGAUAGUAGGCGGGGUAACGGCCCACCUAGUCUUCGAUGGAUAGGGGUUCUGAGAGGAAGGUCCCCCACAUUGGAACUGAGACACGGUCCAAACUCCUACGGGAGGCAGCAGUGAGGAAUAUUGGUCAAUGGGCGAGAGCCUGAACCAGCCAAGUAGCGUGAAGGAUGACUGCCCUAUGGGUUGUAAACUUCUUUUAUAAAGGAAUAAAGUCGGGUAUGGAUACCCGUUUGCAUGUACUUUAUGAAUAAGGAUCGGCUAACUCCGUGCCAGCAGCCGCGGUAAUACGGAGGAUCCGAGCGUUAUCCGGAUUUAUUGGGUUUAAAGGGAGCGUAGAUGGAUGUUUAAGUCAGUUGUGAAAGUUUGCGGCUCAACCGUAAAAUUGCAGUUGAUACUGGAUAUCUUGAGUGCAGUUGAGGCAGGCGGAAUUCGUGGUGUAGCGGUGAAAUGCUUAGAUAUCGCGAAGAACUCCGAUUGCGAAGGCAGCCUGCUAAGCUGCAACUGACAUUGAGGCUCGAAAGUGUGGGUAUCAAACAGGAUUAGAUACCCUGGUAGUCCACACGGUAAACGAUGAAUACUCGCUGUUUGCGAUAUACAGCAAGCGGCCAAGCGAAAGCGUUAAGUAUUCCACCUGGGGAGUACGCCGGCAACGGUGAAACUCAAAGGAAUUGACGGGGGCCCGCACAAGCGGAGGAACAUGUGGUUUAAUUCGAUGAUACGCGAGGAACCUUACCCGGGCUUAAAUUGCAGAUGAAUUACGGUGAAAGCCGUAAGCCGCAAGGCAUCUGUGAAGGUGCUGCAUGGUUGUCGUCAGCUCGUGCCGUGAGGUGUCGGCUUAAGUGCCAUAACGAGCGCAACCCUUGUUGUCAGUUACUAACAGGUUCCGCUGAGGACUCUGACAAGACUGCCAUCGUAAGAUGUGAGGAAGGUGGGGAUGACGUCAAAUCAGCACGGCCCUUACGUCCGGGGCUACACACGUGUUACAAUGGGGGGUACAGAGGGCCGCUACCACGCGAGUGGAUGCCAAUCCCAAAAACCUCUCUCAGUUCGGACUGGAGUCUGCAACCCGACUCCACGAAGCUGGAUUCGCUAGUAAUCGCGCAUCAGCCACGGCGCGGUGAAUACGUUCCCGGGCCU
rnacentral:rRNA from 1 species